rnacentral:rRNA from 1 species
UACAGAGGUCCCGAGCGUUGUUCGGAUUCAUUGGGCGUAAAGGGUGCGUAGGCGGUUUGCUAAGUUUGAUGUGAAAGCCCGGGGCUUAACCCUGGAAUGGCAUUGAAUACUGGCGAACUAGAGUACUGGAGAGGAAACUGGAAUUUACGGUGUAGCAGUGAAAUGCGUAGAGAUCGUAAGGAAGACCAGUGGCGAAGGCGAGUUUCUGGACAGUUACUGACGCUGAGGCACGAAGGCCCAGGGGGAGCAAAACGGGG